rnacentral:rRNA from 1 species
AGACUCCCUACGGAGGCAGCAGUGGAUAUGCACAUGGCAGCUGAUGCAGCAUGCGCGUGUUGAGAGCUCCGGUGUAAGCACUUCAGUCGUGAGAGUAGUGUAGGUAUAGCUGCAUAUUUGACGUAGCGACAGAAGAGCACUGCUAACUCCGUGCCAGCAGCGCGGUAAUACGAGGGUGCGAGCGUAAUCGGAAUUACUGGGCGUAAAGCGCAUGCAGGUGGUUUGUUAAGUCAGAUGUGAAAGCCCGGGGCUCAACCUCGGAAUUGCAUUUGAAACUGGCAGACUAGAGUACUGUAGAGGGGGGUAGAAUUUCAGGUGUAGCGGUGAAAUGCGUAGAGAUCUGAAGGAAUACCGGUGGCGAAGGCGGCCCCCUGGACAGAUACUGACACUCAGAUGCGAAAGCGUGGGGAGCAAACAGGAUUAGAUACCCUGGUAGUCCACGCCGUAAACGAUGUCUACUUGGAGGUUGUGGCCUUGAGCCGUGGCUUUCGGAGCUAACGCGUUAAGUAGACCGCCUGGGGAGUACGGUCGCAAGAUUAAAACUCAAAUGAAUUGACGGGGGCCCGCACAAGCGGUGGAGCAUGUGGUUUAAUUCGAUGCAACGCGAAGAACCUUACCUACUCUUGACAUCCAGAGAACUUUCCAGAGAUGGAUUGGUGCCUUCGGGAACUCUGAGACAGGUGCUGCAUGGCUGUCGUCAGCUCGUGUUGUGAAAUGUUGGGUUAAGUCCCGCAACGAGCGCAACCCUUAUCCUUGUUUGCCAGCGAGUAAUGUCGGGAACUCCAGGGAGACUGCCGGUGAUAAACCGGAGGAAGGUGGGGACGACGUCAAGUCAUCAUGGCCCUUACGAGUAGGGCUACACACGUGCUACAAUGGCGCAUACAGAGGGCGGCCAACUUGCGAAAGUGAGCGAAUCCCAAAAAGUGCGUCGUAGUCCGGAUUGGAGUCUGCAACUCGACUCCAUGAAGUCGGAAUCGCUAGUAAUCGUGGAUCAGAAUGCCACGGUGAAUACGUUCCCGGGCCUUGUACACACCGCCCGUCACACCAUGGGAGUGGAGUGCAAACGAAGUCGGUAGUAAGUCGUUACAAGGUACCCAUGCUAGAGUAGUCC